CUAGGGAAUCUUCCGCUCUGGACGAAAGUCUGAUGGAGCUACGCCGCGUGAGGGAAGAAGGUCUUCGGAUCGUAAAGCUCUUUUGUUAGGGAAGAACAAGUACCGGAGUAACUGUCGGUGCCUUGACGGUACCUAACCAGAAAGCCCCGGCUAACUACGUGCCAGCAGCCGCGGUAAUACGUAGGGGGCAAGCGUUGUCCGGAAUCAUUGGGCGUAAAGCGCGCGCAGGCGGUCCUUUAAGUCUGAUGUGAAAUCUUGCGGCUCAACCGGGAGAGGGCAUUGGAAACUGGGGGACUUGAGUGCAGGAGAGGAAAGCGGAAUUCCUUGUGUAGCGGUGAAAUGCGUAGAGAUAUGGAGGAACACCAGUGGCGAAGGCGGCUUUCUGGCCUGUAACUGACGCUGAGGCGCGAAAGCGUGGGGAGCAAACAGGAUUAGAUACCCUGGUAGUCCACGCCUAAACGAUGAGUGCUAAUUGUUGGAGGGUUUCCGCCCUUCAGUGCUGCAGCUAACGCAUUAAGCACUCCGCCUGGGGAGUACGGUCGCAAGACUGAAACUCAAANGGAUUUGUCGGG
rnacentral:rRNA from 1 species